rnacentral:rRNA from 1 species
GCAGUCGAACGAUACCUUCCAGCUUGCUGGAGGGAAAAGUGGCGCACGGGUGCGUAACGCGUAUGCAACCUACCUUCAUCUGGGGGAUAGCCCGGAGAAAUCCGGAUUAAUACCGCAUAAAAUCACAGUACGGCAUUGUACAAUGAUCAAACAUUUAUGGGAUGAGGAUGGGCAUGCGUGUCAUUAGCUAGUUGGCGGGGUAACGGCCCACCAAGGCGACGAUGACUAGGGGAUCUGAGAGGAUGGCCCCCCACACUGGUACUGAGACACGGACCAGACUCCUACGGGAGGCAGCAGUAAGGAAUAUUGGUCAAUGGAGGCAACUCUGAACCAGCCAUGCCGCGUGCAGGAAGACUGCCCUAUGGGUUGUAAACUGCUUUUAUCCGGGAAUAAACCUAUCUACGUGUAGAUAGCUGAAUGUACCGGAAGAAUAAGGAUCGGCUAACUCCGUGCCAGCAGCCGCGGUAAUACGGAGGAUCCAAGCGUUAUCCGGAUUUAUUGGGUUUAAAGGGUGCGUAGGCGGCCUGUUAAGUCAGGGGUGAAAGACGGUAGCUCAACUAUCGCAGUGCCCUUGAUACUGACGGGCUUGAAUAGACUAGAGGUAGGCGGAAUGAGACAAGUAGCGGUGAAAUGCAUAGAUAUGUCUCAGAACACCGAUUGCGAAGGCAGCUUACUAUGGUCUGAUUGACGCUGAGGCACGAAAGCGUGGGGAUCAAACAGGAUUAGAUACCCUGGUAGUCCACGCCCUAAACGAUGAACACUCGCUGUUGGCGAUACACAGUCAGCGGCUAAGCGAAAGCGUUAAGUGUUCCACCUGGGGAGUACGGUCGCAAGAUUGAAACUCAAAGGAAUUGACGGGGGCCCGCACAAGCGGAGGAAG